ensembl:snoRNA
GACCAAAGUAUUGAGCUUAGUUCAGGAUUGCUUCCCUGUUUUAGUAAUUAAACUUUGGGACAUUAAGACAUGAGUUGAGGAGAUGAUUGGGUAGUAGGUAUUUCUCUAUUCAUUUCUCUCUUAGCCUACAAAA